UAACACGUGGGAACGUACCCUUUGGUUCGGGACAACUCUGGGAAACUGGAGCUAAUACCGGAUACGCCCUUUUGGGGAAAGGUUUACUGCCGAAGGAUCGGCCCGCGUCUGAUUAGCUAGUUGGUGGGGUAACGGCCUACCAAGGCGACGAUCAGUAGCUGGUCUGAGAGGAUGAUCAGCCACACUGGGACCGAGACACGGCCCAGACUCCUACGGGAGGCAGCAGUGGGGAAUAUUGGACAAUGGGCGCAAGCCUGAUCCAGCCAUGCCGCGUGAGUGAUGAAGGCCUUAGGGUUGUAAAGCUCUUUUAUCCGGGACGAUAAUGACGGUACCGGAGGAAUAAGCCCCGGCUAACUUCGUGCCAGCAGCCGCGGUAAUACGAAGGGGGCUAGCGUUGCUCGGAAUCACUGGGCGUAAAGGGCGCGUAGGCGGCGUUUUAAGUCGGGGGUGAAAGCCUGUGGCUCAACCACAGAAUGGCCUUCGAUACUGGGACGCUUGAGUCUGGUAGAGGUUGGUGGAACUGCGAGUGUAGAGGUGAAAUUCGUAGAUAUUCGCAAGAACACCGGUGGCGAAGGCGGCCAACUGGACCGGCACUGACGCUGAGGCGCGAAAGCGUGGGGAGCAAACAGGAUUAGAUACCCUGGUAGUCCACGCUGUAAACGAUGAAUGCUAGCUGUUGGGAUGCAUGCAUCUCAGUAGCGCAGCUAACGC
rnacentral:rRNA from 1 species